UGGGCUGACAGAGCUCUGGCUGCAGCCAAGUGCAGUGUGUGCUCACAGCAUGUCAGCCCCUCUCAAGCAGCCAGAACACCUCACAGCUGACUGACAGGGAAGGACAAGAACAGGAGCUUCCCAGGGAUGUCACCUAUGACAAAUCCAGUGGCAGAUGAGCACUCAGCCUCCUGCAGACUUAGACCCUCGAAGCUGAGGGCAGAGCAAAGCUUCACACAUUCCCUGCUGUGACACAAAGUCUGGGACCCCAGUGCUGCCUAUGCUUGUGGGACACCACCCAAAACCUGCCAACCCAAAAUCUGCCCCAGCUUUGGGCUAUGGAGAGGCCACAUCUGCAGAGCUACCCAGGAAGAAAGUAGGGAAAGGAAAGGAAAGGGAAUAAAGUGCAGUGGCCAAAGAAGGAAGAAAGAACAAGCAAGUAAUCAGAUCAGAAACCAAUGGAACUCUGCAGUUUGUAGCAGCUGAAGAUCUGGUGUGAACAGACACCCCAGGAAUUAUGGAAUUUAAAAGGAAAGCAGGUUACAGGGCUGGACUCAUGGUCUCAAAAAGAAGAGGAAAAAGUCAUCAUAAACCCACUUUAUUCAGUGGAUCAAACCUCCCCCCAGGGUUGCUGGAUGGGGGCACAGGCUCCAAGGCUUUUUGGGGCUAUCAGUCAAGUGCCACCCAUAAGACCCAAAAUGUGCCAACAGAUACUCAGCAUCAGCACAUUUCUCCCCAAAAUAGUAAAGGACCAAAUAACUCCAGUGUAAAUAGCAGGAAAUAUUCCCAAUUCCAACAUCUCGCAGCAGAAUUUACUGGAAUACAGAACUGUUAUGCUCCAGAUCAAAGCAAAUUCCUCUUUGUGGUGGGGAGUGCCCAACCUGUGCAGCAGAACUGCAGCCAGCUCAUGAAUGUGAUGUGA
rnacentral:lncRNA from 12 species